rnacentral:SRP_RNA from 1 species
GCCGGGCGUGGUGGUGCAUGCCUGUAAUCCCAGCUACUCAGGAGGCUGAGGCAGGAGAAUUGCUUGAACCCAGGAGGUGGAGGUUGCAGUGAGCCAAGAUCACACCACUGCACUCCAGCCUGGGUGACAGAGUGAGACCCUGUCUCAA